rnacentral:rRNA from 1 species
UGGGGAAUUUUGGACAAUGGGCGCAAGCCUGAUCCAGCAAUGCCGCGUGCAGGAUGAAGGCCUUCGGGUUGUAAACUGCUUUUGUACGGAACGAAACGGCUCUUUCUAAUAAAGAGGGCUAAUGACGGUACCGUAAGAAUAAGCACCGGCUAACUACGUGCCAGCAGCCGCGGUAAUACGUAGGGUGCGAGCGUUAAUCGGAAUUACUGGGCGUAAAGCGUGCGCAGGCGGUUAUAUAAGACAGAUGUGA